rnacentral:rRNA from 1 species
GGGGUAAGCGUGUAGGAGGAGGACCAGGUAAAUCCGGGCCUCAUAAACUCUGAGACGUGAUACCGAGCCGCUUCAGGCGAAGUCAUUGAUCCUAUGCUGCCUAGAAAAGCCCAGCAGCGAGUUGACAUGGUGCCCGUACCCCAAACCAACACAGGUGGACAGGCAGAGCAUACCAAGGCGAGUGGGAUAACUAUGGUUAAGGAACUCGGCAAAUUGCCUCCGUAACUUCGGGAGAAGGAGGACCCCAGUAGCGUGAUGAGACUUGCUCUCUGAGCGUGAAGGGGUGGCACAAAAUUGAGGGAAGCGACUGUUUACCAAAAACACAGCAGCGUGCUAAGCCGUAAGGCGCUGUAUACGCUGUGACUCCUGCCCGGUGCUGGAAGGUUACGGGGAUGGGUUAGUCCUUCGGGACGAAGCUCUGAACCUAAGCCCCAGUAAACGGCGGCCGUAACUAUAACGGUCCUAAGGUAGCGAAAUUCCUUGUCGGGUAAGUUCCGACCUGCACGAAUGGAGUAACGACUUCCCUACUGUCUCAACCAUAGACCCAGCGAAAUUGAAGUACGAGUAAAGAUGCUCGUUAGCUGCAGAAGGACGGAAAGACCCCGUGGACCUUUACUAUAACUUGAUGUUGUGUUUUGUCAUAUGUUGUGUAGGAUAGGUGGGAGACUUGGAAGCAUGGACGCUAGUCUGUGUGGAGUCAUCGUUGAAAUACCACCCUGCAUAUGGUGAGGCUCUAACCUAGACCCGUUAUCCGGGUUGGGGACAGCGUCAGGCGGGUAGUUUAACUGGGGCGGUUGCCUCCUAAAGAGUAACGGAGGCGCCCAAAGGUUCCCUCAGCCUGGUUGGCAAUCAGGCGUUGAGUGCAAUGGCAAAAGGGAGCUUGACUGCGAGACCUACAAGUCGAGCAGGAGCGAAAGCUGGGCAUAGUGAUCCGGCGGUUGCGUGUGGAAGCGCCGUCGCUCAACGGAUAAAAGGUACCCCGGGGAUAACAGGCUAAUCUUGCCCAAGCGUCCAUAGCGACGGCAAGGUUUGGCACCUCGAUGUCGGCUCAUCGCAUCCUGGGGCUGAAGCAGGUCCCAAGGGUUGGGCUGUUCGCCCAUUAAAGCGGUACGCGAGCUGGGUUCAGAACGUCGUGAGACAGUUCGGUCCCUAUCCUCUGCAGCCGGAGGUGAAUUGAGGAAAGCUGUCCCUAGUACGAGAGGACCGGGACGGACGCAGCUCUCGUGUGCCAGUUGUCCUGCCAAGGGCAUGGCUGGUUAGCGACCUGCGGAAAGGAUAACCGCUGAAAGCAUCUAAGCGGGAAGCCUCUUCCAAGAUGAAUUCACCCACAGGGUUAACCUGGUAGGGCCCGUGGUAGACCACCACGUUGAUAGGCCGGAAGUGUAAGCGUGGCAACACGUUCAGCUGACCGGUACUAAUCGGCCGAGGGCUUGAGCU